rnacentral:Y_RNA from 1 species
GGCUGGUCUGACUGUAGUGGUGCUUAUAAUUAAUUGAUCACAACCAGUUACAGAUUUCUUUGUUCCCUCUCCAAUCCCCCUGCUUCACUUGACUAGCCUUAA